UCCUGAGUAGCUCAGCGGUAGAGCAAUCGGCUGUUAACCGAUCGGUCGUAGGUUCGAUCCCUACCUCAGGAG
rnacentral:tRNA from 1 species